GCUCAGGAAGUCUGGACUGAGCCUUAGCAACUCUGAUGAGCAGAAGCCGGAGGAGCCCACAGAGCGAUGGAGAGGAGCAGGGUAUAAGGGCUGUCCCCAGAAACCAAGGAAAGACCUUAGGAGCAGAGGCAGGGAGCACUCCCCCUCAGCCGUCAUGGGGACUUGGGAAUAUUCUGCAGGGCACAGUCGGUCUCUGACUUCCUCUGCACAUCUGUCCUCUGGCAGAGCUGAUGGGACACAGGACAUUUUCAUGAGUGGUCCUCUCAAGGACAGGGACAGGGACAGGGACAGGUGGCUCCCAGACUCUAGACAGAUGAUCUCUGACAUAGAGAUGGUUCAGCUUUUGGUUCUUUUAGUUCAUGAUGAUGCAAAAACUACUCACUUGCCGUAGAAACUGUAGUUCCAAUUUUGAUUUUCAAUAUUUCCGAAGAUUGUUAAGGGAAACGACGGGUGCAGGGUAUAGACCACAUUGCUGCCCCACAGUGGGGCUGCCGAUGAGCUGAAUUCAAUGUAUUUUCCUCUUAGGAUAUUUCCAGCACUGGGUGGAUGUACUGGGACCAAACCCCACUGUGAAUUGGGGAGCAGCUGCAGUUAAAUGCUGAUACAACCCAUGAAGGAACUGUCUGAAGAUCUAGGCCAUCUGUCUAGACUACAGUGUGGUUAGAGAGCAGCCAGAGGCUCCAAACCCCUGAGGAUGGAAACAAGGCGCAACGACAGGAACGCACUGGGACAAAACAGAGCCUGGAAGUCACGGGGCAUCUGGAUCAGAGACAUAAACAGGUGUUGUGACGUGUGUUUUCCCUAGCUGAUCACACCUCUGUACGCCAACGUUUGCCCUUGCCUCUGAUCAAUAGUCGCACACUCUGAAGUCGGGACAGUAAACAGUGGCACUCGUACUGUUUAUGGUCUCAGGGCUGUCUCCUUCCUGUCACAGAUGUUUCUGCACUGUUGCUUCUGUGAGAACCUUCCGUUGUGUUUACCUUUCUCAGCUCACUGCAGACCAUGUUUUCAUCAUAGUCCAACACAGACCAGAGCUUCUACUUUGACCCCCUGUGGUGUGAGAGUGCAAAGACCACAGUGCUGUAGAGAAAGCUUCUAGCACAAGCAGAUGCCCCGAAUCUCUCGCUCAGAAAUAGGUGAACCCAAGCCAAAAAUAAAUCUGAGUGUGGGCACGUGUCCUAGCUGUCUGAAGGAAAAGUAAAAGGUCCAGCCUGCUCUAAGCACAGGUUUCCCAUCCCACACCCAGCACUCUGGUAAGUGCAAUGGGUUCUUGCUAGGUUUGAAGCAAGUGCAAGUUAAUUGGCCACUGCAAUCCUCCCAUAUCCAAGAUGUAAAUCCACUCACAUUAUAGUAAUACUCAUGUAUAUUGAUAUUUAAUGAUUUUAUUUUCUAUUAUUGUAGUGAUUAAAUUUUCUCAACACAAAUUGCUACAAACUGCUGUGAAAUCUAUUUUGAUGCUGUGUGUAUCAAUUAAAUCUUACAUAGAUUAAA
rnacentral:sRNA from 1 species